UACAGAGACUGCAAGCGUUAUUCGGAUUCACUGGGCGUAACGGGUGCGCAGGCGGCCGGGUGUGUCAGAUGUGAAAUCCCGAGGCUUAACCUCGGAACUGCGUCUGAAACUACUCGGCUAGAGUACUGGAGAGGGUAACGGAAUUCACGGUGUAGCAGUGAAAUGCGUAGAUAUCGUGAGGAACACCAGAGGCGAAGGCGGUUACCUGGACAGUUACUGACGCUCAGGCACGAAAGCAUGGGGAGCAAAAGGG
rnacentral:rRNA from 1 species